AUGCUACAUGAGCAUUACUUUUAUUUUGAAUUUAAUUUUGUGUUUGAGCCUCUUUUACAUAUUAAGUGUAAUAUCACAGACUUUCUUCUUUCAGGGUUAACUGGCCAUGCAAAAACUGUUGUGAGUACUAUAUGUUUUUGGCUUGCUUUUGUUCACUUUUGUCCUUUCCAAAGUGGAAUAAGAAAAGAAAGUCAAAACAGGCUCAACCAUGACUACUCUGCUCUUGUGAUCACCAAUUUCUGCUCCAUUGCGCACAAGAAAGUAGUGACUAUUUAUUUGCUUAAACAAUAUGUCCAGCGCUGCCUGUCCUGCUAA
rnacentral:rRNA from 1 species